AACGAACGCUGGCGGCAUGCCUAACACAUGCAAGUCGAACGAAGUCUUCGGACUUAGUGGCGCACGGGUGCGUAACGCGUGGGAAUCUGCCCUUGGGUACGGAAUAACUCAGAGAAAUUUGUGCUAAUACCGUAUAAUGUCUUCGGACCAAAGAUUUAUCGCCCAAGGAUGAGCCCGCGUAAGAUUAGCUAGUUGGUGGGGUAAAAGCCUACCAAGGCGACGAUCUUUAGCUGGCCUGAGAGGAUGAUCAGCCACACUGGGACUGAGACACGGCCCAGACUCCUACGGGAGGCAGCAGUGGGGAAUAUUGGACAAUGGGCGAAAGCCUGAUCCAGCAAUGCCGCGUGAGUGAUGAAGGCCCUAGGGUUGUAAAGCUCUUUUACCAGGGAUGAUAAUGACAGUACCUGGAGAAUAAGCUCCGGCUAACUCCGUG
rnacentral:rRNA from 1 species